rnacentral:tRNA from 1 species
GGGGAUGUGGCUCAGUGGUAGAGCAUUUGCUUGGCAUGCAAAAGGCACUGGGUUCAAUCCCCAGCACUGCAA